rnacentral:lncRNA from 1 species
AUGUAUUUUGGAGCUGAGUAAAAGAGGCUUGGGGUGCAUGGUAUAUGUAAGAAUAAUUUAAGCUUGUCAUGUUAUGGAUAAGAGACAUUCUCAUCAAUCCCGUUCCUUCUUCUAUGAUGGAAUAGAUGACUGAAAUUGACUGCAGUGUCGGAGUAAUGGGAGCAACUCCAAGAGGCUCCUCCAGCAAGCACUGCUGCAUCUGGAGGUGCCAUUAGUGAUUCUCUGAAACAACAAAGGCUUGACUCAGUGGUGACUGGAAGCCUCCAACCAGAUUUCUGACCUUACCUGGGAAAUGUAUGGAUUUUUUUCCCCAAAUGAUGCACAAAGGGAAAGAUCUGUGCUGCUGGACUGCAAUUCAUCUAAAAGAGAAGGAAAUAACUCUCUAGUGGAUAUGAACUGUGAAGAAGAAUGA